AGACUGAGCGUGACGGCUCCCUCGUCUCUGACGGGGCUAUCCGUCAUGUCCAGGACCAGCAUCGGUCCGGGUGGUCGGUUAAAGGCUUGGGAAUGUAUCUUAUCUUCGGGUAAGACUUAUAGCCCAGGGUGUAAUGCGGCCUACCCGGACCGAGGAACGCGCUUCGGCUCGGAUGCUGGCGUAAUGGUUGUAAGCGGCCCGUCUUGAAACACGGACCAAGGAGUCUAACAUCUAUGCGAGUGUUAGGGCGUCAAACCCUUGCGCGUAAUGAAAGUGAACGGAGGUAAGAACCUUAAGGGCGCAUUAUCGACCGAUCCUGAUGUCUUCGGAUGGAUUUGAGUAAGAGCAUAGCUGUUGGGACCCGAAAGAUGGUGAACUAUGCCUGAAUAGGGUGAAGCCAGAGGAAACUCUGGUGGAGGCUCGCAGCGGUUCUGACGUGCAAAUCGAUCGUCAAAUUUGGGUAUAGGGGCGAAAGACUAAUCGAACCAGUAGCUGGUUCACGCCGAAGUUUCCCUCAGGAUAGCAGUAACGUUUUCAGUUUUAUGAGGUAAAGCGAAUGAUUAGAGGCCUUGGGGUUGAAACAACCUUAACCUAUUCUCAAACUUUAAAUAUGUAAGAAGUCCUUGUUACUUAAUUGAACGUGGACAUUUGAAUGUAUCGUUACUAGUGGGCCAUUUUUGGUAAGCAGAACUGGCGAUGCGGGAUGAACCGAAAGUGAGGUUAAGGUGCCGGAAUAUACGCUCAUCAGACACCACAAAAGGUGUCAAUGCAUCCAGACAGCCGGACGGUGGCCAUGGAAGUCGGAAUCCGCUUAGGAGUGUGUAACAACUCACCGGCCGAAUGCAUUGGCCCUGAAAAUGGAUGGCGCUUAAGCGUGUUACCUACACCUCGCCGUCAGGGUUAUAAUGAUGCCCUGACGUGUAGGCGUGCGUGGAGGUUUGUGACGAAGCCUGGG
rnacentral:rRNA from 1 species